UACGGGGGGGGUAAGCGUUGUUCGGAAUUACUGGGCGUAAAGGGCGCGUAGGCGGCCUGCUAAGUCGAACGUGAAAUCCCCGAGCUCAACUCGGGAACUGCGUCCGAUACUGGCAGGCUUGAAUCCGGGAGAGGGAUGCGGAAUUCCAGGUGUAGCGGUGAAAUGCGUAGAUAUCUGGAGGAACACCGGUGGCGAAGGCGGCAUCCUGGACCGGCAUUGACGCUGAUACGCGAAAGCGUGGGGAGCAAACAGG
rnacentral:rRNA from 1 species